rnacentral:rRNA from 1 species
CCUACGGGUGGCAGCAGUGGGGAAUAUUGCACAAUGGGCGCAAGCCUGACGCAGCCAUGCCGCGUGUGUGAAGAAGGCCUUCGGGUUGUAAAGCACUUUCAGCGGGGAGGAAGGCGGUGAGGUUAAUAACCUCAUCGAUUGACGUUACCCGCAGAAGAAGCACCGGCUAACUCCGUGCCAGCAGCCGCGGUAAUACGGAGGGUGCAAGCGUUAAUCGGAAUUACUGGGCGUAAAGCGCACGCAGGCGGUCUGUCAAGUCGGAUGUGAAAUCCCCGGGCUCAACCUGGGAACUGCAUUCGAAACUGGCAGGCUAGAGUCUUGUAGAGGGGGGUAGAAUUCCAGGUGUAGCGGUGAAAUGCGUAGAGAUCUGGAGGAAGACCGGUGGUGAAGGCGGCCCCCUGGACAAAGACUGACGCUCAGGUGCGAAAGCGUGGGGAGCAAACAGGAUUAGAUACCCUAGUAGUC